rnacentral:rRNA from 1 species
GACGAACGCUGGCGGCGUGCCUAAUACAUGCAAGUCGAACGAACCGCGACUAAGUGCUUGCACUAAGUCAAGGUGAGUGGCGAACGGGUGAGUAACACGUGGGUAACCUACCUCAUAGUGGGGGAUAACAGUCGGAAACGACUGCUAAUACCGCAUAGGACAUAGGAUCACAUGAUCCAGUGAGGAAAGGUGGCGCAAGCUAUCGCUAAGAGAUGGACCCGCGGUGCAUUAGCUAGUUGGGAGGGUAAAGGCCUACCAAGGCGAUGAUGCAUAGCCGACCUGAGAGGGUGAUCGGCCACAUUGGGACUGAGACACGGCCCAAACUCCUACGGGAGGCAGCAGUAGGGAAUCUUCCGCAAUGGACGCAAGUCUGACGGAGCAACGCCGCGUGAGUGAAGAAGGUCUUCGGAUCGUAAAGCUCUGUUGUUAGAGAAGAACAGCGCAUAGAGUAACUGCUAUGCGUGUGACGGUAUCUAACCAGAAAGCCACGGCUAACUACGUG